AUGGCGCCUCCAACAAGGAAAAUCACACCCGAAGGCAUCAUUCGCCACCAGCCCAGACCGAAGUCGAGCAUGACUUUCGUCAGGGAGCCGAGCACCUAUGCCGGAGACGACAUCUCCAACACACCACCACCAAACCGGAGCAGCAGACGCCACUUGCUACACCGCUCAGAACUAGCCGAAGCACCACCGGCGCGCAAAGCCCAGAGCAUCUCGAAGGCCUUGCCCCGACCAUGCCACCGCGGACCACCAACCCAUCAGGGAGCCACCACGCAACCCGGCUGCAGACAGUCGCCGGCCGAACCACCUCCAGGCCUCUGGCCGCCAAACGCCAGAUCCGGCCAGCAAGGGCCCACCAAAUCCAGCCGCGCCAGGCCAGAGCCCGCCCGCCAGGGCGAGCCCGCGUCCCCCGGCAUCACCCACGGACAGCGAUGCAUGCGUCUGCGCCGUCCCUGGCCUCCAUGCCACGCUGUGACCGCGCCCAGCACCUCCACGUCGCAGCUAGGGCACGCAUGCACCAGCUGCUAG
rnacentral:rRNA from 1 species